rnacentral:lncRNA from 1 species
UCUGAAUAAACUUUCUAAAUAAAUUUUCUGGGAAAAAAAAGACACAACCAGGAAUUUUCUAAAUAAAUUUUGGAGCACUAGAUUGUAUCCAUAUUAUUUAUAUUCUAAUAUAUAACUCCAAAUCUUUGUGACAUGCCAAUAAUUUGAUUCACCACCAAUUUUCAAAAGGCGCAGCCAGGAAAAAAAUGCUCAUCGUUAUUGAUACUCUACCAGACUCUAGAAUGCUUUAUAACUUCAAGAAAUGAAAAUUUAUUAGCUACUAAUUGAUGUUGUUCAAAAAGAAUUGUUCUCCUCCCAACUUUGACAAGCAGCAACUUGAAUCAAAACAAGUUCCAAAGAUUGAAGAAAGGGAGAAUAAAGCAACUUUCUUAUAUAUUGGAAGAAUUCCACAUGGAUUUUAUGAGAAUGAAAUGGAAGGUUUCUUCAAGCAAUUUGGUACAAUCAAAAGACUCAGAAUAGGAAGGAAUAGGAAGACAGGGAAAUCGAGGCAUUUUGGAUUCGUUGAAUUUGAAUCUCCUGAGGUUGGAAAAGUUGUUUCAGAAUUCAUGCAUAACUACUAAUUGUUUGAGCAUCCGGUGCAAGUUCUGCUUGUUCCUACUGAGUGUGUUCAUCCAAAACUAUGGAAAGGUAUGACGCACUGGUACAAACCCUUGGAUUGGGUUAAAAUUGUAAAAGGAGUCAUCAUGAUAAGGAAAGGACUUUGGAAGAGCACAAGAAGUUGGUAGAAAUAAUUAUGAAAACGGACCAAAGAAGGCAAAAGAGGAUUGGGGCCUCUGGUAUUGAUUAUGAUUGUCCAGAA